UACGUAGGGAGCAAGCGUUGUCCGGAAUCAUUGGGCGUAAAGCGCGCGUAGGUGGCUUCGUAAGUCCGUUGUGAAAGUCAAAGGCUCAACCUUUGAAUGCCGAUGGAUACUGCGGAGCUAGAGUACGGAAGAGGCGAGUGGAAUUCCUGGUGUAGCGGUGGAAAUGCGCAGAUAUCAGGAGGAACACCGGUGGCGAAGGCGGGUCUCUGGGCCGUAACUGGACGCUGGAGGAGCGAAAGCAUGGGGAGCGAACAGGA
rnacentral:rRNA from 1 species